AGAAUUUCCCAGAGCACAGAUACUGACUAUGGACUGGGCCUGGAGACUCUUCUUCUUGGUGGCAGCUGUGACAGGUACCCUCGGCGAGGUUCAGCUGCUUCAGUCUGAUGCUGAAGUGAGGAGGCCUGGGACCUCAGUGAAGGUCUCCUGCAGGACUUCUGGCUACACCUUCACAGAUUAUUACAUGUACUGGGUGAAACAGAGCCCAGGACAGGGGCUGGAGUGGAUUGGAUGGAUUGAUCCUGAAGAUGAAGAAAGUAACUAUGCUCAGAAGUUCCAGGGCAGGGCCACCCUCACUGCAGACACCUCCUCCAGCACAGCCUACAUGGAGCUGAGCAAUCUGAGCUCCGAAGACACAGCUGUGUAUUACUGUGUGAAGCACAGUGUGGUAACCACAUCCUGA